rnacentral:rRNA from 1 species
UACGUAGGGGGCUAGCGUUGUCCGGAAUCAUUGGGCGUAAAGCGCGUGUAGGCGGUCCGGUAAGUCCGCUGUGAAAGUCGGGGGCUCAACCCUCGAAUGCCGGUGGAUACUGUCGGGCUAGAGUGCGGAAGAGGCGAGUGGAAUUCCUGGUGUAGCGGUGAAAUGCGCAGAUAUCAGGAGGAACACCAAUUGCGAAGGCAGCUCGCUGGGACGGUACUGACGCUGAGGCGCGAAAGCGUGGGGAGCGAACAGG